rnacentral:rRNA from 1 species
UAUAGUAGAGGAUAGCCCGGCGAAAGUCGGAUUAAUACUCUAUGUUUUCCGUUGCAGACAUCUAAGAUGGAACAAAGGCUUGCCGCUAUAGGAUGGGGAUGCGGUCUGAUUAGGUAGUCGGCGGGGUAACGGCCCACCGAGCCAUCGAUCAGUAGGGGUUCUGAGAGGAAGGUCCCCCCACAUUGGAACUGAGACACGGUCCAAACUCCUACGGGAGGCAGCAGUGAGGAAUAUUGGUCAAUGGACGAGAGUCUGAACCAGCCAAGUAGCCGUGCAGGACGACGGCCCUAUGGGUUGUAAACUGCUUUUAUGCGGGGAUAAAGUUCACUACGUGUAGUGUUUUGUAGGUACCGCAUGAAUAAGGACCGGCUAAUUCCGUGCCAGCAGCGGC